rnacentral:rRNA from 1 species
GGAGUCUAGCAUGUGCGCGAGUCAUUGGGAUUCGUAGCUAAACCUAAAGGCGAAAUGAAAGUGAAGGCGCGCCUCGCGCGCGCCGAGGGAGGAUGGGCGACGCUCCGCGCCGCCCCGCACUCCCGGGGCGUCUCGUUCUCAUCGCGAGAAGAGGCGCACCCAGAGCGUACACGCUGGGACCCGAAAGAUGGUGAACUAUGCCUGGUCAGGACGAAGUCAGGGGAAACCCUGAUGGAGGUCCGUAGCGAUUCUGACGUGCAAAUCGAUCGUCGGAACUGGGUAUAGGGGCGAAAGACUAAUCGAACCAUCUAGUAGCUGGUUCCCUCCGAAGUUUCCCUCAGGAUAGCUGGCGCUCGCUUUUCGCGAGUCUCAUCCGGUAAAGCGAAUGAUUAGAGGCAUUGGGGUCGAAACGGCCUCAACCUAUUCUCAAACUUUAAAUGGGUGAGAUCUCCGGCUUGCUUAAACUCCGUUUAUGAAGCCGCGAGAUCGGAUCAGAGUGCCAAGUGGGCCAUUUUUGGUAAGCAGAACUGGCGCUGUGGGAUGAACCAAACGCGGAGUUAAAGCGCCUAAAUCGACGCUUAUGGGAUACCAUGAAAGGCGUUGGUAACUUAAGACAGCAGGACGGUGGCCAUGGAA